GAUGAACGCUGGCGGCGUGCCUAAUACAUGCAAGUCGAGCGAAGCGGGGACGGGUGAGUAACACGUGGAUAACCUCAUAUAAGACUGGGAUAACUUAGGGAAACGGGAGCUAACCCGGAUAAUUAUAGACGGAUCUACGCUGCAUUUGAUAGAUGGGACGGUAACGGCAGACCAAGGCAACGAUGCCUAGCCGACCUGAGAGAGGUGUGGGCCACAGUGGAACUGAGACACGGUCCAGACUCCUACGUGAGGCAGCAGUAGGGAAUAUUCCGCAGUGGGCGAAAGCCUGACGGAGCAAUGCCGGGGGAGUGAUGAAGGUCGUCGGAUCGUAAAACGCUUUCAGCAGGGAAGCGGUACCUACUCAGGAAGCCUCGGCUAACUACGUGCCAGCAGCCGCGGUAAUUC
rnacentral:rRNA from 1 species